GAAGCCAGGCCAAGAAGAAUCCCAGGACUGGAAGGCCUUGUGGGACGUCCCAGGUUUGUCUUGUGUCAAUAGCACUGAUACUCAAUCUCCUACUCCCAUCUGUGAGCAUGCAGACCCUACUUGCCUUCCCACAGCCUCCCUUUUCAUAUUUUUCAUGUUUCUUUAGCUCUGUCUUCAAGCCUUGUUGCUCCCGCAAAAAAACCUGCCUCUUCCUCCAGUCCUCCCAAGCAGGGGGAACAGUCCUGACACCUUUCCAAGCCCUGGUCCAUGGACAUUGUGCCCCCUUCUCCCUGCCCAUGGUGACCUGCUCCAAAACCCUCAAGGAGAAGGGAGUGUAUGUCAUUUCCUCCCUGUAAAGUAAAGAUAAUUUUGCAGGGGACUGUGUGGAUGAAAUGACAUGAUGCAUGGAAAUCCCUUAGCGUGUGCCUGGCAUGUAAACUGCAGGUGUCAUCAUUAUUACUGAGGAAUACUGAGUCCCGAACAUGGCUGUCUCAUUGGUGGACUGGGGUCUCCCCCAGGGCAUUCAUCUACUAUGUGUUUAUUGCACCCUUUUUCCAUGUGAGGCACAUGCCAGGGACUGGGCACAUGGUAUGAACAAGACACAGGUCAUCGGUGUCCUCUUGAGCUCCCUGGCUUGGCAGCAGAUGCAUACCUGGGAAGGAUGCUAGGUCAUCCGGGAACUCUACCUCCUUCAAAUCCCUAAGGACUGUGCUCCCAAUCCGCUUACGCUCAAGGAAGAACUGGUCAGCCCUAGGUGCAGCUGCAACCUGAGGGACUUGUCCUGGGAUCAGACAUUUUGAGGACUUUCUUGACCCUUGGCUGAUAUCCUUGCAGGCAGGACCUGCAGCUAAGCAAGACGUAGGACUGCAAGCUGGGUUGGCACCCUCCCCCUAGGGAGUUCUCCAGGCCUUGCCCCCUCUGUCCCCAGCCUGGAAGCCCUCCCUGGUACCAUACCCCAGCCGAUGAGUAUGUACCCCCAGAAGUACUUCCGCUCAGAGAAGAAGGAGACGGCAAGCAGGGUGUACAGGCCCAGAACCAGCCUGCUGUCAGGAUCAGAACAAAAGAGGAGGACUGCAUAUGUAUGGACCCACUCCAGAUGGCACGGGGACGGGGGGAGUAGGAAAAGUGGCAUGAUGAGGAAAUGGAGGCACAGACUGAUUAGAAAACCAGCUCAAGGUCAUGUUGCUGCUCUCUCAUUCCUGUUGAGGGCUCUCUGGUGGAGCCUCUGUCUCACAGGUCACCUGCAGGCCAACACUCCCAGAAGCAGCUAGCACCAUGGUUGACCUCGUCCAGGUCCAGGGAAGGCCUCCCUCUCCAGGACUCCUUUAGAUUUCCCCAGCAUCCAGACCUCACCUGCCUAAGUGCUGUUGCCCUGGAAGCCACAGUGAGCACGAGCUCCAUCUUGCACCUUUACCAGCCAAUGGGGGUAAAGACAUUAGCUGCUCGCUGGACAGUCCCGUCAGACACAGACAUGAAACUCCUGCGAGAAGACCAAGCCCUGGAUAAUAUCACCACUCAUCCUGUGGCACUUCAUUACAUUCCGGCUGGGGAUAUUUGAAUAUUAGAUAUUAAGCAAUUCCUGUCAAUUUUGUUAGGUGUGUAAUGACAGUAUCAUAGUUAUAUAGAAGAGUGUCCUUUGGUUUUAGAGAUGCAUUCUGAAAUGAUUUGGGGUAAAAGGUCAGGAGGUUUAUAAUUUACUUUAAAAUACUUCAGCCCAAAAGCAAAUGAAGCAUAUAUUAAUUGUUAGAUGUUAACAAUUGUC
rnacentral:lncRNA from 1 species